rnacentral:misc_RNA from 1 species
GAUGAAGAACGCAGCGAAAUGCGAUAAGUAAUGCGAAUUGCAGAAUUUCCGUGAGUCAUCGAAUCUUUGAACGCACAUUGCGCCCACUGGUAUUCCGGUGGGCAUGCCUGUUCGAGCGUCAUUAAAAUCACUCAAGCUUAGGUUUACCUAUUGCUUGGUCUUGGAGAUGGAAGCCAAUUUAUUGGAAUCCUCUUCGAAAUUCAAUGGCGAAGACCCUUGCUCUCCCAAGUGUAGUAAUAACUUAUGUCACUGAAGGAAGCGAGAAAUCUUCUGCCGUAACCCCCAUAUUUUCUAUGAUUGACCUCGGAUCAGGUAGGGAUACCCGCUGAACUUAAGCAUAUCAAUAAGCGGAGGA